rnacentral:sRNA from 1 species
GACCAAUUGCUAUUCUGGGUUACAGCAAACAAGUUAAGAUGGUGGCUAUCCUGGAAGGUGGUGGUGCUUAUGGUUUUAAAACUGUAAACCCAGAUCCUAGGAAAGGAGAGGCCUCGUGUCCGGUAUCGGAUGCGCUACAACUCAUGCUUGCCUUUGGUGGAUUCAUCUUAGGCAUCUUGA